rnacentral:rRNA from 1 species
CGGGGACUAAGCAUAUCAAUAAGCGGAGGAAAAGAAACUAACAAGGAUUCCCCUAGUAACUGCGAGUGAAGCGGGAAAAGCUCAAAUUUAAAAUCUGGUGGUCUUUGGCCGUCCGAGUUGUAAUUUAGAGAAGCGUCUUCCGCGCUGGACCGUGCACAAGUCUCCUGGAACGGAGCGUCGUAGAGGGUGAGAAUCCCGUCUUUGGCAUGGACACACCAGGGCUUUUGCGAUGCGCUCUCGAAGAGUCGAGUUGUUUGGGAAUGCAGCUCAAAAUGGGUGGUGAACUCCAUCUAAAGCUAAAUAUUGGCGAGAGACCGAUAGCGAACAAGUACCGUGAGGGAAAGAUGAAAAGCACUUUGGAAAGAGAGUGAAACAGUACGUGAAAUUGUUGAAAGGGAAACGCUUGAAGUCAGUCGCGUCGUCCGAGACUCAGCCUCGCCUCGGCUUGGCGUACUUCUCGGCCCGACGGGUCAGCAUCAAUUUCGCCUCUCGGAUAAUGGCGAGGGAAAAGUGACACCUUUACGGUGUGUUAUAGUCUCUCGUCGCAUGCGAGGGUCGGGAUUGAGGAACUCAGCACGCGCCCUCGGGCGUCGGGGCUUUCGCCCACGAUACGUGCUUAGGAUGUUGGCGUAAUGGCUUUAAACGACCCGUCUUGAAACACGGACCAAGGAGUCUAACAUGCCUGCGAGUGUUCGGGUGGAAAACCCGUGCGCGCAAUGAAAGUGAAAGUUGGGACCUCCGUCGUGGAGGGCACCGACGCCCGGACCAGACCUUCUGUGACGGCUCUGCGGUAGAGCAUGCAUGUUAGGACCCGAAAGAUGGUGAACUAUGCCUGAAUAGGGUGAAGCCAGAGGAAACUCUGGUGGAGGCUCGUAGCGAUUCUGACGUGCAAAUCGAUCGUCAAAUUUGGGUAUAGGGGCGAAAGACUAAUCGAACCAUCUAGUAGCUGGUUCCUGCCGAAUUCCCCCCUCAGGAAAAG